UACAGAGGGUGCAAACGUUGCUCGGAAUUACUGGGCGUAAAGCGCGUGUAGGCGGACCACCAAGUCGGACGUGAAAUCCCUGGGCUCAACCCAGGAACUGCAUCCGAAACUGGCGGUCUGGAGUAGUGGAGAGGAAAGCAGAAUUCCUGGUGUAGAGGUGAAAUUCGUAGAUAUCAGGAGGAACACCGGUGGCGAAGGCGGCUUUCUGGACACUUACUGACGCUGAGACGCGAAAGCGUGGGGAGCAAACAGG
rnacentral:rRNA from 1 species